GGGACACAGAGUGUGGCUUGGGGUCCAGGUGGCCCAGGCUGGGGACUCUGAGCCUCUAUUUCCCCUCUGGAAAGUGUGGCUGAGGUGCCUGCCUACCCCGACUAAGGGACACGAGGGUGUCCAGGGUGGCACACAAGGCUGUUAUGACCCACAGCAACCGCCCCUUCUCUCUCUCUCCGUUCUCUCUUUGGAAGUAUCAGGGGCACACAGGUCCUUCAACAGGCCACGGCAUCCAGUGAAUCAAAAACAAAAAUAACCCUUACGGAGCCAGCCGUGGUGGUGCACACUUGUGAUCCUGGCAUUCAGGAGGCUGAGGCAGGAGGAAUGUUACAUGGGGACACUCCCAGGUCCCUGUCCCCAGCCUCCAGCAGGGGGAGUGCUCAGAGGGCCCCAGGAUCACUUGGAUGGGGGACGAGAAGGCCAGUGCCCCACGGAAAGCGAGACCCACUGCCCUGAGCCCCUCCUCUUCUGCCACCCUUGGCCUGGAUGUUGAAGAUGGAACUAAGGGCCUCUUGCCUGUUGGGGAGCACCCCAGCCACGACCUUCGGACCAAAACCUUGACAAUGACCAGAGAUUGCUUCACAGUGAGAAAAUACUUUCAAAAUUAUAAACUUAGUACCAAUCACGCUUUGAGAAGAAGCAAGAUAUAUCAUGUACAGGUGUAAAUCCCCUAUAAUGAAUGUUAUCAUUAUGUAUAUCUAAAAUGUAUCAAUAAAUGUUUUGCUUUAAAAGAAAAAAAAGAAA
rnacentral:lncRNA from 1 species